AGGCAUUGGCACAGUGAGUGGGAAGCUGCUUCUUGGAACAGCUGAAAAGAUACCGCUAUCAGAAUUAGUCGAUACAACUGGUGCAGGUGAUGCAUUUAUUGGAGCAGUUCUGUAUGCUCUCUGUGCCAAUAUGCCACCAGAAAGAAUGUUGCCAUUUGCUUCUCAAGUGGCAGCUAUCGGGUGUAGGGCAUUGGGAGCAAGAGCUGGUCUUCCCCAGCUAACAGACCCUCGAUUGAAACCCUUUUUAGUGAACGAUCCCCAAAACGUGGCCACAUUGCUAUAG